CCAAACCGGAAGUAAUUAGGGGAGGGGCUGCCCGUAACCCUGCCUGCUCUAAUGGAGGCUGCUGCUUUAUACCGUCGCAGUGUUUUUUUCUCCACGUGUUUAGAAAAUUUCAGAGCUUUUAUCUUCAUUAGCUCCUCAGUGUUAUCAGAGCGCGCGGACAGUAAGCAGCUGGCUAUGGACGGCGGGAUUUUAUAAAGACUCAGAGCAACGUUUCCCCAAGCAUUCAGCGUAUUCAGCAGUGGAAAACAUGACAUCCACAACAACAGGUCAAUGUCUGCAGCGCAGCCAAAGCCAUCAACUGUUGCCACCUUAUAGUAAGUUCAACUGAAAAGAUACACAAAGGAUUUUUGCUUAGGGCACAAAAAAGGUGUUUUUAUCGGAGUAAAAAAUCUGUUUAUUUAUCUAGUGUCAAUCUACAAAACACGUCAUCAUGAAGGACUUUACAGAUUAGUCAAAUCAUUCAGGCGAAUAGGUUAAAGGUCUAAUUCAUGUAGAAUUGACUCCUCCUGGAUGAGGAUGUGGUGAAGGUAGGCUGCUGCUUAGAAUCUGUUGUUAACUUUGCAGGGAUCCAUCAUAUUUAAAUGACAUCUUGAACCAUUGCAUCAGUUUAAUCCAUGGACAUUUGUGUGUCAGCAAUGUUAUAGCAGGCUAGGAUUAGGUAGCAUUAAUUAGGUAGUGUUAGCUUUAUAUUUGACCAAGUUUGCUAGCUCCUAUCCUUCUGUUUUACCCUGCGUGGCUUUUCUCCCUGUCUGAUUAAUUACCAGUUUAUCAGACAGAGCUGCCCACAGCCUUCAAAGAAACUCCUCUUUACUCCAAGUCUGACGGAAUAAAAAGAGCAGCAGUCUGAGCUGUUAUUGCCAGUAUCUUUGUAAAUCACAUAACUUCAACCUGUGGGGCUUCAUUAUAACUAGAGAUCUAGCUUCUACUGAGAUACAGUGGGGAAAAUAAGUAUUUGACCCCUUGCUGAUUUUGCAGGUUUGCCCGCUUACAAAGAAUGCAACAAUCUAUAGUUUUAAUCAUAUGUACAUUCUAACAGUGAGAGACAGA